rnacentral:tRNA from 1 species
GCGGCAGUAGUCUAGCCUGGUAGGACAGCAGCCUGCCACGCUGUUGGCCCGGGUUCAAAUCCCGGCUGCCGCA